GAUGGUAUAGCUCAGUGGUAGAGCACAUGCUUAGCAUGCAUGAGGUCCUGGGUUCCAUCCUCAGUACCUCCA
rnacentral:tRNA from 1 species